AAAUCCUCAGCCUCUUGUUUAUGAGAUUAAGAAAAAAAGAAGAAGAAAAGAAAGAAAAACUCCAAAAGGAGGACAUGUUGUCUUUUCAGAUGAGGACCAAAAUGGUACCAGAGUCAUCAAGCUGUGGAGGAUCAGGGGUCACUGUGAGGAAUCCCGUCUCCGCUACUGGACUCAAAGUUUUCUAUCCCCACAUGCGAGCAGAGCUGUGCAAACAGAUCUCACUUCAAGCAGAUUACAAAUAAAAUUGCUCUGCGAACAAAACAAAAAUGUUCUCACACUCUUUGCAGAAGAUUCGUGCUUUUUCUUAUUUUAGAAAAUAAGCUAAAAUGUGUAUAAUUUUUAUUUUUUUGUUUAUUUAUUUAAAUGUAAAUUUGUCCCUGAAAGUUAUUACUACAAUCAUAUUGUAUUCAGGUCUUUGUAUUUCGUCAUUUUAAUGACUUACUCAUAAAUUAACCCAAUAAACGUGUAAUGUAAAAUUUCUGUACGUCGACAGUGUAUUAAUGCAUCUUUUUGGAGUAACCCUUUUAAACUGUAUCUCAGCAAAGUGACUGAAACCUAUUUAUUUAAUAAAAAUGUAAUUUAAAAAAA